CUGUUGAAGAAUGCUCAGUAUUGGAGACUUCAUCCGCAGAGAAGGUGCCGACUUGAUUAAUUUGAGUGUGAGGGGCAGGAUCCUCAAGGUUUUGCUGACGCAAAAUGUUUGUAAGGAAUUAGCACUGCUGUGAUGUAAGUUGAAUCCCCUUUACAUCCUGCUCUUUAGGAAAAAGCUCAGAAAAAGUGUCAGUAGUAAUCAUAUUAUUGGCUUGAGAUGUUCAAUUGGUGAAUUUGUAGCCAGGAGGGAACCCAUGCUUUUUAUAACAGGUGUCGGUAGUGUGGCCAAGACGAUUACAAAAAGUGCAGACUUUUCUAGUAAAAGAAAAC
rnacentral:lncRNA from 1 species